UGGGGAAUUUUGGUCAAUGGACGAAAGUCUGAACCAGCCAUGCCGCGUGGAGGAUGAAGGCCCUCUGGGUUGUAAACUUCUUUUAUAGGGGACGAAAAAGGGUCUUUCUAGAUCAACCGACGGUACCCUAGGAAUAAGCACCGGCUAACUCCGUGCCAGCAGCCGCGGUAAUACGGAGGGUGCAAGCGUUAAUCGGAAUUACUGGGCGUAAAGCGCACGUAGGCUGUAGUGUAAGUCAGGGGUGAAAUCUCCGAGCUCAACUCGGAAACUGCCUUGGAUACUAUUUGCCUUGAAUUAUGUUGAGGUUGGCGGAAUAUAACAUGUAGCGGUGAAAUGCAUAGAUAUGUUAUAGAACACCGAUUGCGAAGGCAGCUGACUAAGCAUAUAUUGACGCUGAGGCACGAAAGCGUGGGUAGCGAACA
rnacentral:rRNA from 1 species